AUCAGCAGCUCCAUGCUCCAGUGCUCUGGGAGAGUUUAUAGUCCUGACAGUUGAACACUGGAUGACUGACAGCUGUCCUUCAUCACAACUGAAGACACAGAAAUCCUCCUCAUCAAAAACAUGACUUUGAUCUGCGUCCUCAUCUGGACUCUCCUCUGCUGCUGCUUCACAGAGGUCAGAGGUCAGGUCACAGUGACUCAACAGCCUGCAGCAGUGAGAGCUGAUCUGGGAGGAUCUGCCACCAUCAACUGUAGAACCAGUCAGAAUGUUUAUGUUUAUAGUGGCUCCCACUAUUUAGCUUGGUACCAACAGAAAGAUGGACAAACUCCUAAGCUCCUCAUUUAUACAACCAGCACUAAAGCAUCAGGGACUCCAAGUCGUUUUUCAGGCAGUGGAUCAAACUCUGACUUCACUCUGACCAUCAGUGGAGUUCAGGCUGAAGAUGCUGCAGUUUAUUACUGUAAGGGAGAAUUUGAUGCUAGCAAAUAUGAGCUGUUCACACAGUGAAAUACAGUCAUACAAAAACCUCCCUCAGUCAGACUGAACAGAAACUCCAGCUGGACGCUACAGCAGAAACUGACACAGCUCACUAAGUACAAACACCAUGACAUUCACAUGAAUAUUGAAAUAAGUGGCAACAUUCCCAUCAAAUUUUUAAAGUUAAUGUAGAGGUUGGAAUAUUACACCUGGAGAAACUUUGUUGGGGAAGAUCAAAUUUGACUUAAGGCUGAAA